rnacentral:ncRNA from 2 species
AUGAUAACAAGGGGAGAGACUACUUAUGUAGCGCCGAAGGAGCAAGCAGAAAUGUGAAUCUCUCAGGCAAAAGAACUCUUGUAGGACG